GGGUUGUGAGGUUAAGCGACUAAGCGUACACGGUGGAUGCCCUGGCAGUCAGAGGCGAUGAAGGACGUGCUAAUCUGCGAUAAGCGUCGGUAAGGUGAUAUGAACCGUUAUAACCGGCGAUUUCCGAAUGGGGAAACCCAGUGUGAUUCGUCACACUAUCAUUAACUGAAUCCAUAGGUUAAUGAGGCGAACCGGGGGAACUGAAACAUCUAAGUACCCCGAGGAAAAGAAAUCAACCGAGAUUCCCCAGUAGCGGCGAGCGAACGGGGAGCAGCCCAGAGCCUGAAUCAGUAUGUGUGUUAGUGGAAGCGUCUGGAAAGGCGCGCGAUACAGGGUGACAGCCCCGUACACAAAAAUGCACAUGCUGUGAGCUCGAUGAGUAGGGCGGGACACGUGGUAUCCUGUCUGAAUAUGGGGGGACCAUCCUCCAAGGCUAAAUACUCCUGACUGACCGAUAGUGAACCAGUACCGUGAGGGAAAGGCGAAAAGAACCCCGGCGAGGGGAGUGAAAAAGAACCUGAAACCGUGUACGUACAAGCAGUGGGAGCACAGAGCAAUCUGUGUGACUGCGUACCUUUUGUAUAAUGGGUCAGCGACUUAUAUUCUGUAGCAAGGUUAACCGAAUAGGGGAGCCGAAGGGAAACCGAGUCUUAACUGGGCGUUAAGUUGCAGGGUAUAGACCCGAAACCCGGUGAUCUAGCCAUGGGCAGGUUGAAGGUUGGGUAACACUAACUGGAGGACCGAACCGACUAAUGUUGAAAAAUUAGCGGAUGACUUGUGGCUGGGGGUGAAAGGCCAAUCAAACCGGGAGAUAGCUGGUUCUCCCCGAAAGCUAUUUAGGUAGCGCCUCGUGAAUUCAUCUCCGGGGGUAGAGCACUGUUUCGGCAAGGGGGUCAUCCCGACUUACCAACCCGAUGCAAACUGCGAAUACCGGAGAAUGUUAUCACGGGAGACACACGGCGGGUGCUAACGUCCGUCGUGAAGAGGGAAACAACCCAGACCGCCAGCUAAGGUCCCAAAGUCAUGGUUAAGUGGGAAACGAUGUGGGAAGGCCCAGACAGCCAGGAUGUUGGCUUAGAAGCAGCCAUCAUUUAAAGAAAGCGUAAUAGCUCACUGGUCGAGUCGGCCUGCGCGGAAGAUGUAACGGGGCUAAACCAUGCACCGAAGCUGCGGCAGCGACGCUUAUGCGUUGUUGGGUAGGGGAGCGUUCUGUAAGCCUGUGAAGGUGUGCUGUGAGGCAUGCUGGAGGUAUCAGAAGUGCGAAUGCUGACAUAAGUAACGAUAAAGCGGGUGAAAAGCCCGCUCGCCGGAAGACCAAGGGUUCCUGUCCAACGUUAAUCGGGGCAGGGUGAGUCGACCCCUAAGGCGAGGCCGAAAGGCGUAGUCGAUGGGAAACAGGUUAAUAUUCCUGUACUUGGUGUUACUGCGAAGGGGGGACGGAGAAGGCUAUGUUGGCCGGGCGACGGUUGUCCCGGUUUAAGCGUGUAGGCUGGUUUUCCAGGCAAAUCCGGAAAAUCAAGGCUGAGGCGUGAUGACGAGGCACUACGGUGCUGAAGCAACAAAUGCCCUGCUUCCAGGAAAAGCCUCUAAGCAUCAGGUAACAUCAAAUCGUACCCCAAACCGACACAGGUGGUCAGGUAGAGAAUACCAAGGCGCUUGAGAGAACUCGGGUGAAGGAACUAGGCAAAAUGGUGCCGUAACUUCGGGAGAAGGCACGCUGAUAUGUAGGUGAAGUCCCUCGCGGAUGGAGCUGAAAUCAGUCGAAGAUACCAGCUGGCUGCAACUGUUUAUUAAAAACACAGCACUGUGCAAACACGAAAGUGGACGUAUACGGUGUGACGCCUGCCCGGUGCCGGAAGGUUAAUUGAUGGGGUCAGCGCAAGCGAAGCUCUUGAUCGAAGCCCCGGUAAACGGCGGCCGUAACUAUAACGGUCCUAAGGUAGCGAAAUUCCUUGUCGGGUAAGUUCCGACCUGCACGAAUGGCGUAAUGAUGGCCAGGCUGUCUCCACCCGAGACUCAGUGAAAUUGAACUCGCUGUGAAGAUGCAGUGUACCCGCGGCAAGACGGAAAGACCCCGUGAACCUUUACUAUAGCUUGACACUGAACAUUGAGCCUUGAUGUGUAGGAUAGGUGGGAGGCUUGGAAGUGUGGACGCCAGUCUGCAUGGAGCCGACCUUGAAAUACCACCCUUUAAUGUUUGAUGUUCUAACGUUGACCCGUAAUCCGGGUUGCGGACAGUGUCUGGUGGGUAGUUUGACUGGGGCGGUCUCCUCCUAAAGAGUAACGGAGGAGCACGAAGGUUGGCUAAUCCUGGUCGGACAUCAGGAGGUUAGUGCAAUGGCAUAAGCCAGCUUGACUGCGAGCGUGACGGCGCGAGCAGGUGCGAAAGCAGGUCAUAGUGAUCCGGUGGUUCUGAAUGGAAGGGCCAUCGCUCAACGGAUAAAAGGUACUCCGGGGAUAACAGGCUGAUACCGCCCAAGAGUUCAUAUCGACGGCGGUGUUUGGCACCUCGAUGUCGGCUCAUCACAUCCUGGGGCUGAAGUAGGUCCCAAGGGUAUGGCUGUUCGCCAUUUAAAGUGGUACGCGAGCUGGGUUUAGAACGUCGUGAGACAGUUCGGUCCCUAUCUGCCGUGGGCGCUGGAGAACUGAGGGGGGCUGCUCCUAGUACGAGAGGACCGGAGUGGACGCAUCACUGGUGUUCGGGUUGUCAUGCCAAUGGCACUGCCCGGUAGCUAAAUGCGGAAGAGAUAAGUGCUGAAAGCAUCUAAGCACGAAACUUGCCCCGAGAUGAGUUCUCCCUGACUCCUUGAGAGUCCUGAAGGAACGUUGAAGACGACGACGUUGAUAGGCCGGGUGUGUAAGCGCAGCGAUGCGUUGAGCUAACCGGUACUAAUGAACCGUGAGGCUUAACCUUACAACGCCGAAGGUGUUU
rnacentral:rRNA from 1 species